rnacentral:rRNA from 1 species
UACGGAGGGUCCGAGCGUUAAUCGGAAUUACUGGGCGUAAAGCGUGCGCAGGCGGUUUGUUAAGCGAGAUGUGAAAGCCCUGGGCUCAACCUAGGAAUAGCAUUUCGAACUGGCGAACUAGGGUCUUGUAGAGGGGGGUAGAAUUCCAGGUGUAGCGGUGAAAUGCGUAGAGAUCUGGAGGAAUACCGGUGGCGAAGGCGGCCCCCUGGACAAAGACUGACGCUCAGGUGCGAAAGCGUGGGGAGCAAACAGG